rnacentral:rRNA from 1 species
AUACGGAGGGUGCGAGCGUUAAUCGGAAUUACUGGGCGUAAAGCGUACGGAGGCGGUUGGUGAAGUUAGAUGUGAAAGCCCCGGGCUUAACCUGGGAACUGCAUUUAAAACUGGCGAACUAGAGUUGAGUAGAGGGGAGUGGAAUUUCAGGUGUAGCGGUGAAAUGCGUAGAGAUCUGAAGGAACACCAGUGGCGAAGGCGACUCCCUGGACUCGAACUGACGCUGAGGUACGAAAGCGUGGGUAGCAAACGGGAUUAGAAACCCUAGUAGUCC